rnacentral:rRNA from 1 species
AUUUGUCUGGUUAAUUCCGAUAACGAACGAGACCUUAACCUGCUAACUAGAUUCUUUAGUAUUACUUUUGAUAUCUUCUUAGAGGGACUAUGUAAAACAAAUACAUGGAAGUUUGAGGCAAUAACAGGUCAGUGAUGCCCUUAUAUGUCCUGGGCUGCACGCGUGCUACACUGAUGCAUACAACAAGUGCCUAACCAGACAUGGUAUGGCAAUCUCGAAUAUGCAUCGUGAUGGGGAUAGAUCUUUGCAAUUAUAGAUCUUGAACGAGGAAUUCCUAGUAAGUGCAAGUCAUCAUCUUGCAUUGAUUAUGUCCCUGCCCUUUGUACACACCGCCCGUCGCUCCUACCGAUACCGGGUGAUCCGGUGAACCUUUUGGACUCUUUACUGGGAAAGAUAAGUAAACCAUAUCACCUAGAGGAAGGAGAAGUCGUAACAAGGUUUCCGUAGGUGAACCUGCRGAAGGAUCA